GAUGAACGCUGGCGGCGUGCCUAAUACAUGCAAGUCGAGCGAAUGGAUUAAGAGCUUGCUCUUAUGAAGUUAGCGGCGGACGGGUGAGUAACACGUGGGUAACCUGCCCAUAAGACUGGGAUAACUCCGGGAAACCGGGGCUAAUACCGGAUAACAUUUUGAACCGCAUGGUUCGAAAUUGAAAGGCGGCUUCGGCGGUCACGUAUGGAUGGACCCGGGUCGCAUUAGCUAGUUGGUGAGGUAACGGCUAACCAAGGCAACGAUGCGUAGCCGACCUGAGAGGGUGAUCGGCCACACUGGGACUGAGACACGGCCCAGACUCCUACGGGAGGCAGCAGUAGGGAAUCUUCCGCAAUGGACGAAAGUCUGACGGAGCAACGCCGCGUGAGUGAUGAAGGCUUUCGGGUCGUAAAACUCUGUUGUUAGGGAAGAACAAGUGCUAGUUGAAUAAGCUGGCACCUUGACGGUACCUAACCAGAAAGCCACGGCUAACUACGUGCCAGCCGCCGCGGUAA
rnacentral:rRNA from 1 species